rnacentral:rRNA from 1 species
CACCGGCAGCUCAAGUGGUGGCCAUUUUUAUUGGGCCUAAAGCGUUCGUAGCCGGUCUGAUAAGUCUCUGGUGAAAUCCCACAGCUUAACUGUGGGAAUUGCUGGAGAUACUAUUAGGCUUGAGGUCGGGAGAGGUUAGAGGUACUCCCAGGGUAGGGGUGAAAUCCUAUAAUCCUGGGAGGACCACCUGUGGCGAAGGCGUCUAACUGGAACGAACCUGACGGUGAGUAACGAAAGCCAGGGGCGCGAACCGG